ensembl:lncRNA
UUUCUUUAAAAUAUUUGUAUUUUCAAUUGUACAGUUUAUAUCUAUUAAAAUAAAAACUGAAAUAUAUUGCCUCAAGGUCAUUGGCGUUUCCAUGGCUUAUUGUCACUCUACUUUAGAUAAAGCAUUGAGUAUUUAUUCCAAUAUACAUACAUACAUACAUACAGUCAUACAUACAUACACAAAAAACAGAAACCAAGCUAAACAAUAUCUAAAAUGUGCAAUAUCUAGCACAUGUUAGUUUUAAACACACAGUAUAAAAUGGGGACAUUUCUGAAAAAUGAAGGACGUCUGGUCACAUACAAAAUAAUUGGUCUGCAUAGAAAAUUAGCAUAAAUAUGUACUUUUACUCCAGACACAGGAUAUUGUAAAUGGCUAUUUAAUUACAUAUAUGUCCAGGUCUAUUCAAAUUAUUCAUUACCAAUUAAAGAAAUGGACCGUGACCAAAUUAGGAUGUACAGCAAACACAUAAAAACCGCACUGACUAAUCUUUUGUUGGUCAUUAAUGUCACUCUUUAUUUCUAUGGCAGUAAAAAGAGAGGAUUGUCUUGCGGUCUGUUCCACACUCCUUGCUGAAAGCUCCAUUCAGCGGUGCAGCCUGUCUCUCAAUACAACUGUGGGAUCCUCCCUUGUUAACAUGUUCAGGCUCACCGCCUCCUCUCAACACCUGAGGGCAAGUGGAGCACCCAGAGCUCAGGUAAUGGAGGAAGAGGAAGGACAGAGUGAAAAUAAACAUGCACAGUCUCCAUCCAUCCGUUGUGCCCCACCUGCUCUACUCCAUUUCAAACUCUGACACGGGCGGGCAGCAUUAGGGGUCUGUGGGUGGGAUUGCCUAUUGCAGAGUGCUGUGAUCAGAGAUAUUGUCAUAUCAAUGAUUAUACUAGUCAACCUGCAUUUUUGUGUGGGUUUUAUGACAUGUUUAGUUGUAAAACCCUGGUGUGUACACUGCAAAUGUACCGCACAAUUCCAGCCCUCAAAGCAUUAUUUUUUUUACAACCAACUACAACCAAAAAGUAGCUAACUACAUUGAAGUUGAGGGCAAUAUGUUUUUAAACAUUAAAAUAAGUAAGUAGCCUAAGUAAGCAAAUAAUUUGCACAAAAACAGAGUUCUGAAUGAAUAAAUUAUUUUAAUUAGGGUGACAGAAUCAAACUUGAACUGGGAAAUUCAUUUCAAAUACAAAAAAAAAAAAAAAAAAAAACUUAAUUUACAUAACCUACCCAAAACGAGACUCGAAUAGGUUGCUUUAUAGUGAAAUUUUUAAUUUACAUGAACUGUCCGAACGAACCGAUUCACUAUAAUGAAUCGGACGUUUCAAUAUUACGAGAGAGAAAACAGAUUAGGACGAACUGAUUCACUAAAAUGAGUCAGACUUUCCAACAGGACAGUUUAGGAUAGGCCUAAAUCGGAUUAUCCAACGAAAUAGAGAGUACUGUUUAGGAUAAGCGAAUAGGUCGUUUUAUAGUGAAACUGUUUAUUUACAUGAACAAACCGAUUCACUAGAAUGAAUCAGACUUUCUAACUGGAACGUUUAAGAUUAACCGAAUCACUAAAAUCAAUCAGACUAUCCAAAGCUACAGUAGGCUACAUAAGAACUCUUAGAGGACCGAUGAAUCACUAAUGAUUCGGACUUUACAAUAAGAAAUUGAGAUAUUUAAAAUGGAUCGGACUACCAACGCUACAUCAGAAAUCGCAGAGACCGUUUAGGAUGAAUCGAAUCACUAGCAUGAAUCGGAUUAUCCAGUGCUACAUAAAAGAGAAAGGACCGUUUAAGAUGAAUCUAGAUCGAUUCUCUAGAACGAUUCGGACUAGGUCUACACAGCGCUACAUAAGAAAUAGAGUGAACCAUUUAGAAACCGAAUCACUAGAAUGAAUCGGAAAAAUCCAACGCUACAUAAUAAAAGAGAGGACCGUUUAGGAUGACGCGAAU